AUACAAUCACAUCAUCAGCAAACAGGAACAGUUUAACUUCCCCUCUACCAGUUAUCCAAACUGGCCCUUUAUUUCUUUCUCUUGUUUGGUUGCUCUGGCUAGGACUUCCACUAGUUUGUGAAAUAGAAGUGGUGAACUAUGGUAUCCUUGUCUUGUGACAGUUCUUAAGGGGAAUGUUUUCAACUUUUCCCCAUUCAGUAUACUGUUGUCUGAUGGAAUUCAGCUGUGAAUCCAUCUGUUCCUGCACUUUUUUUUUUUGGCAAUUUUUAAAUUACCAUUUCAAUCUAACUACUUCUUAUUGGUCUUUUCAGAGUUUCUUUUUCUUCCUGGUUUAAUCCUGGAGAGUUGUAUAUUUUCAGGAAUUUAUUCUUCUCUUCUAGGUUUUUUAGUUUAUGCACAUAAAGUAUUUCAUAGUAGCCUUGAAUGAUGUUUUGUAUUUCUGUGGUAUCAGUUGUAAUAUUUCCUGUUUCAUUUCUAAUUGAGCUUAUUUGGAUCUUCUCUCUUCUUUUCUUGGAUAAUCUCACUAAUGGUCUGUCAAUUUUGUUUUUCUUUUCAAAGAAUCAGCUCUUUGUUUCAUUUAUCUUUUGUUUUUUUUUUUUUUCAAUUUCCUUUAGUUCUGCUGUCAUAUUUGUUAUUUCUUUUCUUCUGCUGGCUUUGGGUUUGGUUUGUUUUUGUUUCUUUAGUUUCUUGAGGUGUGACCAUAGAUUGUCUAUUCAUGCUCUUUCAGACUUUUGAUAUAGGCAUUUAAUGCCAUAAACUUUCCUCACAGCACUGCUUUUACUGUAUCUCGGAAGUUUUGAUAGGUUUCUUGUUUUGUUUUGUUUUGUUUUGUUUUUUACUAUUAUCAUUCAGUCAAU
rnacentral:lncRNA from 10 species